rnacentral:tRNA from 2 species
UGGCAAGAUGGUCGAGUGGUCUAAGACGUGACGUUCAGGUCGUCAUCUCUCCGGAGGCGUGGGUUCAAACCCCACUCUUGUCAA